CGGUACCUGAAGAAAAAGCAUCGGCUAACUCCGUGCCAGCAGCCGCGGUAAUACGGAGGAUGCAAGCGUUAUCCGGAAUCAUUGGGCGUAAAGGGUCCGCAGGUGGCGAAUAAAGUCUGCUGUUAAAGACCGGGGCUAAACUCCGGAAAGGCAGUGGAAACUGAUUAGCUAGAGUACGGUAGGGGUAGAGGGAAUUCCCAGUGUAGCGGUGAAAUGCGUAGAUAUUGGGAAGAACACCGGUGGCGAAAGCGCUCUACUAGGCCGAAACUGACACUGAGGGACGAAAGCUAGGGUAGCGAAAGGGAUUAGAUACCCCUGUAGUCUUAGCGGUAAACGAUGGAUACUAGGUGUAGCUUGUAUCGACCCGAGCUGUGCCGAAGCUAACGCGAUAAGUAUCCCGCCUGGGGAGUACGCACGCAAGUGUGAAACUCAAAGGAAUUGACGGGGGCCCGCACAAGCGGUGGAGUAUGUGGUUUAAUUCGAUGCAACGCGAAGAACCUUACCAGGGCUUGACAUGUCGCGAAUCUAGCGGAAACGUUAGAGUGCCUUAGGGAAUGCGAACACAGGUGGUGCAUGGCUGUCGUCAGCUCGUGUCGUGAGAUGUUGGGUUAAGUCCCGCAACGAGCGCAACCCUCGUCCUUAGUUGCCAAUAUUAAGUUAGGCACUCUAGGGAGACUGCCGGGGACAACUCGGAGGAAGGUGGGGAUGACGUCAAGUCAGCAUGCCCCUUACGUCCUGGGCGACACACGUACUACAAUGGUUGGGACAAAGGGCAGCAAACUCGCGAGAGUAAGCGAAUCUCAUCAAACCCAGCCACAGUUCAGAUUGCAGGCUGCAACUCGCCUGCAUGAAGUAGGAAUCGCUAGUAAUCGCAGGUCAGCAUACUGCGGUGAAUUCGUUCCCGGGCCUUGUACACACCGCCCGUCACACCAUGGAAGCUGGCUACGCCCGAAGUCGUUACCCUAACCCGGUUUUGGGAGGGGGAUGCCGAAGGUAGAGCUAGUGACUGGGGUGAAGUCGUAACAAGGUAGCCGUACCGGAAGGUGUGGCUGGAUCACCUCCUUUACAGGGAGACCUAGUCUAAUUACCAAUAGAUAAAAAAGUUGGUAAUUCGCAAGAAUCCUUAGGUCGUGAGGGGAGCAAGAAAAAACUUUCAAACUGUAAUGGGUGAGGGUCAAUGGGCUAUUAGCUCAGGUGGUUAGAGCGCACCCCUGAUAAGGGUGAGGUCCCUGGUUCAAGUCCAGGAUGGCCCACCUAAAAUACACAGGCAUCCUGCCUGUGCCACAAAAAAAGGAAAAAGUUUUGGCAUUGUCUCUUGUAAUCAAGAGCAAGAGAUAAUGCUGGAAUAGA
rnacentral:misc_RNA from 1 species